GAGGAAUAUUGGUCAAUGGACGAGAGUCUGAACCAGCCAAGUAGCGUGAAGGAUGAAGGUUCUAUGGAUUGUAAACUUCUUUUAUACGGGAAUAAACGAAUCCACGUGUGGAUUUUUGCAUGUACCGUAUGAAUAAGGAUCGGCUAACUCCGUGCCAGCAGCCGCGGUAAUACGGAGGAUCCGAGCGUUAUCCGGAUUUAUUGGGUUUAAAGGGAGCGUAGAUGGGUUGUUAAGUCAGUUGUGAAAGUUUGCGGCUCAACCGUAAAAUUGCAAUUGAUACUGGCAGUCUUGAGUACAGUUGAGGUAGGCGGAAUUCGUGGUGUAGCGGUGAAAUGCUUAGAUAUCACGAAGAACUCCGAUUGCGAAGGCAGCUUACUAACCUGUAACUGACAUUGAUGCUCGAAAGUGUGGGUAUCAAACAGGAUUAGAUACCCUGGUAGUCCACACGGUAAACGAUGAAUACUCGCUGUAGGCGAUAUACAGUCUGCGGCCAAGCGAAAGCAUUAAGUAUUCCACCUGGGGAGUACGCCGGCAACGGUGAAACUCAAAGGAAUUGACGGGGGCCCGCACAAGCGGAGGAACAUGUGGUUUAAUUCGAUGAUACGCGAGGAACCUUACCCGGGCUUAAAUUGCAACCGAAUAUGGCGGAAACGCUAUAGCUAGCAAUAGCGGUUGUGAAGGUGCUGCAUGGUUGUCGUCAGCUCGUGCCGUGAGGUGUCGGCUUAAGUGCCAUAACGAGCGCAACCCUUGCCGAUAGUUACUAACAGGUUAUGCUGAGGACUCUGUCGGGACUGCCAUCGUAAGAUGUGAGGAAGGUGGGGAUGACGUCAAAUCAGCACGGCCCUUACGUCCGGGGCUACACACGUGUUACAAUGGGGGGUACAGAGGGCUGCUACCACGCAAGUGGAUGCCAAUCCCAAAAACCUCUCUCAGUUCGGAUUGAAGUCUGCAACCCGACUUCAUGAAGCUGGAUUCGCUAGUAAUCGCGCAUCAGCCACGGCGCGGUGAAUACGUUCCCG
rnacentral:rRNA from 1 species